rnacentral:rRNA from 1 species
UACGGAGGGUCCAAGCGUUAUCCGGAAUCAUUGGGUUUAAAGGGUCCGUAGGCGGUUUUGUACGUCAGUGGUGAAAGCCCAUCGCUCAACGGUGGAACGGCCAUUGAUACUGCAAGACUUGAAUUAUUGGGAAGUAACUAGAAUAUGUAGUGUAGCGGUGAAAUGCUUAGAGAUUACAUGGAAUACCAAUUGCGAAGGCAGGUUACUACCAAUAUAUUGACGCUGAGGCGCGAAAGCUAGGGGAGCAAACGGG